rnacentral:rRNA from 1 species
GAUGAACGCUGACAGAAUGCUUAACACAUGCAAGUCAACUUGAACUUCGGUUUGGGUGGCGGACGGGUGAGUAACGCGUAAAGAACUUGCCUCACAGAUAGGGACAACAUUUGGAAACGAAUGCUAAUACCUGAUAUUAUGAUUAUAUGACAUCGUAUAAUUAUGAAAGCUAUAUGCGCUGUGAGAGAGCUUUGCGUCCCAUUAGCUAGUUGGAGAGGUAACGGCUCACCAAGGCGAUGAUGGGUAGCCGGCCUGAGAGGGUGAUCGGCCACAAGGGGACUGAGACACGGCCCUUACUCCUACGGGAGGCAGCAGUGGGGAAUAUUGGACAAUGGACCAAGAGUCUGAUCCAGCAAUUCUGUGUGCACGAUGAAGUUUUUCGGAAUGUAAAGUGCUUUCAGUUGGGAAGAAAAAAAUGACGGUACCAACAGAAGAAGUGACGGCUAAAUACGUG